rnacentral:pre_miRNA from 1 species
GGGUUUCUCAGGGGCCUUGUUGCAGAGGCAAUUUGGCAUUCUGUCCACCUCCAUAUUCACUAGUACACAUAGAAGAAGUUUCUUUCUUUUAUUUUACAAGCUCUGGAGGUGGUCAGCAUGUCAAACUGGCUCUGUAAAUUUCUCUCUGAGAAACUC